GGCAAACAUGUAUAAUAUGGCACAAUGUCGUCUCUAAUAUAUAAUGGAAAUUCAAGGUAUGAACACUUGAACAAUACUACUAUGCUCAUAAUACAUGUGGAAUUCAUUUUUUAAAAUAUGAUGCACAAUAUGACAAGACCAGAGGGUCUGAGUGAUACGAUCACAAUUAGCCUGAGGGCUUCUAUGCAAGUAGUACUAAAGCUGAUGUCCUUAUUUGGCAAUAGAAAAAAAAAUGCAAAUUGUUAAAUGGCCGAAGAGAUAAGGUUCUCCGGUGAUUCUCGCUACGGCCAAGAAUCCAUCGAUUGAGUUAGCUUUGGCUGUACAGAGUCAUAGCACAUCUCCUCGUGAGGAAUUAGGAGGUAAGAUGGCGUCGCCAAUCGAAGGUCGUCUGCGCCUGGGCAGCAUCUCCACGCCGUGGGACGGAUGUUGGCCGCCACCACCGCCGGCCGCCGCGCCAUCGCGCCGCAUCAGGAGAAGCGGCGUCGGAGCCGAAGGCCGCCGCCGUGCCAAGGUGUGGCGGAGAGAACUGCGCUCCGCAUGCGCGUUGGCCGUCUCUGUUGCCGGGCUGCGUGGCGGGCCGUGGUGCUCCUCCGGAGGGAGGAGCGUUGCUGCCGGGAUGUGGUCGUCGCCGCUGUAGACGGCCGUGCCGAUGGAGGCCGCGGGUGCAGCCUCAACCAUCCGCAUCCAGGGGGAAAAGGGAGGAGGAGAGUGGACGAGCGGCCGCCGCUUAGACCUUCCUCCGUCCGGAAUCCGCGGCCGAUCUCAUUUAAGAGGCAAGAACAUCACAAAUUGAAGAAAUCACAUGGAUGCUUACAGUUAUUGGUAUGGAUUUUCGAUCGAGUGAUCCUGGAUGCCAACGCCCAUAUCCUUUUCUGUGCGUCUUCCUUGUGUAAUUGAAAAUUGUGCCCAAUUUCAAGUUCUGAUGUUCCUGCUUGGAGUAUGAUAAAUCCGCUCAAUUGAUUGAUUUUCUGUCCUUUGGCAGAGUGUGUUCGAGGCUUCCAAUUGUUGAAUCGAUGGAGGCUGGCGCUGCGUUCUUCCAUCGGUUCUUCUUUCUUUGUAGUUCACGAUUGAUCAAUUCUUCGUGAGAUUCGUGUGAGCGCAUAUACAUACAGGAGAAAAACAAUUCAUUGUUAGAUUAUUAAUUGAUGAUUGCAAGAAGACAAGAUCAAUCAAUCAAUCUCCUGAUUAGUUUCUUUCCUUUUUGUACGAGGAACAUCUCGUCUCCGCCGUGAAUCGCGUGGUGGCCGAAACUCUAGUAGCCAACUUCUCCAGACUUGUCCAGUCAUCGUCUGCGGCAAUUGCAGAUCGCCGGAGUGGCCUCCUCUGGCCAUAGAGAGGCCUUGCCGUUUGCCGUCGCUGUCGUCGGCAGUCAUGUGGCGGAUUGAAGCGCCGGAGGGCGCCGCUUCGACGCGCCUACAGAGGAGGGCGUCGUCAACCAUGGGGUGCCUCAGCCGCCUGCAUCGCGCGCUGGUGCUGCGCCGCUGGAGCGCUGUCGAGGCCGAGGGUCCUUGUGUCCUUGGGGCCGGAGGGAGUCGCCGCCACAGCCGUGUAUCAGGCCGAUGGUCAGGGACGGUGGUGCCGUCGAGUUCUUGGCCUAAUUGCUCUCUGGAAGAGGCGUGCGUGAUAACGUGUUUAGAGAGAAACGAGAGAGAGGAGCAAAUGAUGGAACAGUUCUUUCAUUGAUUGAACAUUGGGGUAUUUAUACCCUCGUUACAAGGCGGUUACAAAGGAGACGGUUGCCAAACAUGGCCACCGACAUUAGCAUAGAUUAACAAUUAAUUAACCUAUUAAUUAAUUCCUAACAAAUGAUAAUGAUUUGUAGUGUCCAUUGCAACAGUUCCAUGUCGACCACCCUAUAUAUAGGACUAUUAUUAGCAAGCAUUUUUUUCAUGUCGGCCAUGCUGAACCAACAUCAUCAAAAGUCUGAAAAAAAAUUUAGAAAAAUAUACACACCAAUGUUAAGUCCAUCUAUAACUUGAAGCCUGGUGAGUUGGUUUCAUCACAAAGUACCUAACCAUCUGACGGUUCGGUGUCAAGCCUAAAUGAUAAUGUUUUUCAUUGUCCAUUGCGAUACUUGUACUAUUUCCAUGCCGACCACCCUGAUAGAGUAAAUUUAUUUCCUCAAUCAAGAUUAUCAUCAACCACUCUAUACUCUACGGGUGGUUGGCUUCAGG
rnacentral:rRNA from 1 species